ACAAAUUGUUUCAACCACUGCUUUAGUUUUGGACGAAGGUACUGCACGAAUAUCAAGCGGUAGAGUUUACAGAACAACCAUACAAGCUCUUAGAAAAAAUGACCUAUCAUUAUCCACAACAGAUGACACUAAUUGAGGUGCCUCUUCAAUUUUGUAAAGGUCAUCUUCAACCUGCAAACUUGCUCUAGUCAGUUCGUAAGCCAGUUGGUUAACUACCGGACCUACAUGUCGGAAAACACAUCGAUGGAAAUCGGUGGCGACGAUCUUCGAUUCCUUUGUUAGGUUUCCAAUUAGUGAAAGAUCUCAGCCUUGUUGUUGCAUGCGAGAUAUCAUUAUGCGUGAUUCACCCUCCACCUCAAUCCUACUAAAACCCAUGUCCCGGCCAAAUUGAAGCGCUCAAAGGCAUGCCGUAGCUUCCACUAGAUCUGGGUUAGUUACGUUUAGAACUUUAAUCAACGCUCACGCAAGCUUCACACCUUGCGAUUCCCGUGCCACCAAACUCACACCACCGCCUUCAGCUUUCGCCUAAAGGCAUCAUAAUUUAUUUUGUUAGAUCCCGGCGACGGUGGCUAUUGAUGAAUCAUCAUUAGUGAUGGCAACAGAGCGGGGUAGAGUAGAUUUUUGCCUACUUCAACCCGACCUGAAACUCUUUCACCG
rnacentral:lncRNA from 1 species